ACUCUUUUAGUUUAUGUAAAAUAUGACUUUGAAGCGGUUAAGAAUUUAGGAGUA
rnacentral:tRNA from 1 species